rnacentral:rRNA from 1 species
GAUUUCUGGUUCGGCGCAAUAGGCCCGCCUCGGUUCACGAGGUUGCGUGCCGUUUGCGCCAUCCAUCCUUCGAGAAAAUACUUCUGCCCUUCACUGGGUUGGAUGUACUAUCUCGAUCUUUUACUUUGAAAAAAUUAGAGUGUUUAAAGCAGGCUUGCGCUAUGAAUACAUUAGCAUGGAAUAAUAAUUUAGGACUUUGGCCCUAUUUUGUUGGUUUCUAGGACUGAAGUAAUGAUUGAUAGGGAUAGUUGGGGGUGCUCGAAUUCAGCGGCCAGAGGUGAAAUUCUUGGAUUCGCUGAAGACGAACUCAUGCGAAAGCAUU